rfam:Pteropus alecto contig106887, whole genome shotgun sequence.
GUCUAUGGCCAUGCUACUCUGAACAAGCCCGAUCCCGUCUGAUCUCAGAAACUAAGCAGGGUCAGGCCUGGUUAGUACUUGGAUGGGAGACCACCUUGGAAGACUAGGUGCUGUAGGCA